CAACAGGGGAUUACCUCAGUAACGGCGAGUGAAGCGGUAACAGCUCAAAUUUGAAAUCUGGCAGCAAUGUCCGAGUUGUAAUUUGUAGAGGAUGUUUCGAGCAUGGUCUGGCCUAAGUUCCUUGGAACAGGACGUCAUAGAGGGUGAGAAUCCCGUAUGCGGUCAGGUGCCUACGCUCAUGUGAAACUCCUUCGACGAGUCGAGUUGUUUGGGAAUGCAGCUCAAAAUGGGUGGUAAAUUUCAUCUAAAGCUAAAUAUUGGCCAGAGACCGAUAGCGCACAAGUAGAGUGAUCGAAAGAUGAAAAGCACUUUGGAAAGAGAGUUAAACAGUACGUGAAAUUGUUGAAAGGGAAGCGCUUGCAACCAGACUUGCACGCAGUUAAUCAUCCGCUGUUCUCAGUGGUGCACUUGAUUGCGUUCAGGCCAGCAUCGGUUUUGGUGGUGGGAUAAAGGCCUUAGGAAUGUAGCUGCUUUCGGGCAGUGUUAUAGCCUAGGGUGCAAUGCCGCCUACUGGGACCGAGGACCGCGCUUCGGCUAGGAUGCUGGCGUAAUGGUUGUAAGCGACCCGUCUUGAAACACGGACCAAGGAGUCUAACAUCUAUGCGAGUGUUUGGGUGUCAAACCCAUACGCGUAAUGAAAGUGAACGGAGGUCAGAACCCUUAAGGGUGCAUGAUCGACCGGUCCUGAAGUCUUCGGAUGGAUCUGAGUAAGAGCAUAGCUGUUGGGACCCGAAAGAUGGUGAACUAUGCCUGAAUAGGGUGAAGCCAGAGGAAACUCUGGUGGAGGCUCGCAGCGGUUCUGACGUGCAAAUCGAUCGUCAAAUUUGGUAUAGGGGCGAAAGACUAAUCGAAACCAUCUAGUAGCUGGGUUCCUGCCGAAGU
rnacentral:rRNA from 1 species